rnacentral:lncRNA from 1 species
UGAAAAUCUUCAAUUUUCUGAGGCUGACACAGAUCAAUUUAUUGAUCAAGAAUUCCUCACUACAGAAGAUACUGUUUAUUCCAACUCUGAAACUCAAGAAAGCGAAGCUUCUUUGUAUAGGUGGAGCACGCCUUGUGUUUUGUUAUUAUUAGAGUCUUAUAGAGCAUUGGAAAAAGAUUUUUAUAGUGGAAAAAUAUCCCAAAAGAAAAUUUGGGAAAAAGUUGCCAAAGAAUUGAAGGUAAAAGGACAUGAUGUAACUGGACCACAAUGUUCUUCAAAGCUACGAAGAUUAAAAAAAACUUACAAAUCUAUUAAAGAUCAUAAUAAUAAAUCAGGAAAUGACAGAAGGACUUGGCAGUUUUUUGAUAAUCAAAGAAGACACCAGUUGCCACUUUAUUAGGAAAAAGACUGAAGCAAAAAGAAGAACACGAAGCACAGAAAAAUAAAAGACACAAAGAUCGAAUGGAAAUGGAU